UUUUUACUUUUUGUUUAGAACUGAAUAGCUUAUAUAAUUUUUAAGAAAUUUAUGUUUGGUUUUUCAUAUAUAUUUAUAAAUAUAUGAUUUUGAGAAUUUUAUGUGAUAGAAGUUUAUUACUAAAUUCUAGGGAAAAAAAUAUUUUCGCCUUAGGCCCCUCACCUAGGCACGGCACUAGGUUGGUGAGUUUUACGUUUUGGCAUUCAACGAACAAAUUGAGGUACAAGUACAAGUGUUCACAACUUCACGACUAUAAGAAGUACUCAAAUAAUGGAGGAGAGAGAGGGUGCUACGUACCUCCAAACAGCAUUGCUGAAAGACUUCUAAAAUGUAAAAUAUCUAUAUGUAAUCGAAAGAGAAUCCAACUAACUAAGAACGGAGUGCUUAGAAGGGUGCUUAAUAAUUUUUAGAUUUAAAAAAAAAAAGAAGAAAAAUCCCAUAAUUAAAGAAGAGUCGAUGCUUAAUUAAGCGCAGGAAGAAGCGAAGCGGUGCUAUUGGACACACGUGUCUCUCUCUCGUGCGGCGUUGUUUCUUCGAGGUUUUGAAAAAAAAAACAUGGGUCUGUCAUUCGGGAAGCUGUUCAGCAGGCUGUUUGCGAAGAAAGAGAUGAGAAUUCUGAUGGUGGGUCUCGAUGCUGCUGGUAAGACGACCAUCCUCUACAAGCUCAAACUUGGUGAGAACGUCACCACUAUCCCAACCAUUGGUUUCAAUGUUGAAACUGUGUAAUACAAGAACAUUAGCUUUACCGUCUGGGAUGUCGGGGGUCAGGACAAGUCAUCCAGAUCCGUCCAUUGUGGAGACACUACUUCCAGAACACGCAGGGACUUAUCUUUGUUGUCGACAGCAACGAUCGUGACCGUGUUGUUGAAGCCAGGGACGAACUUCACAGGAUAUUGAACGAGGAUGAGUUGAGGGAUGCGGUUCUGCUUGUCUUUGCUAAAUCUUCCCAACGCAAUGAACGCUGCUGAGAUUACUGACAAGCUUGGCCUUCACUCUCUCCGCCAAUGACACUGGUUUGCCAAAAAAAACCCCACACACUUGUGUUGAUGCCAAUUGUGUAGUUUGUAGCUAACCAAAAUAGAACAUGUUUUUUUAAUAAUCCCUAAAUAAGAUACUUGCAUUGAAGGACAAAAAUUUAGAGAUAUCUUAAGUAAAGUUCUUAAGACACAUUUAUUACUAAAAAAAUAAUUAAGAGCUCCAUCAGAGGCGCUAGAGAUAAUCAUGCUCUAACUAUCCAUUCACACUCUGUGAGUUACACUUACACUUACGUAGAAUAAUACAGAACUGAAAGUAAAUCUACAGCAUCCAUGACUCAUGGCUAGAUGUCCAUAUAUAUAUUUCUGAUGAUCGCAACGAUGUAAUCCAGUUUUUUAAAAUUUAAUAACAAUACUUAUCACCUUUUAGAGGACAGAAGCAGUGACAAUUCUGAGGAAGUAAUCAAACCAAAAUAUGUGAAGAGUAAUUAAUGAGAAUCACGAGCUGUACCACUGCAUUGGUGAUGGAAACAAUGAUUAACUAAAUCACCCGCUAUGCUCAGACAUCACUUUACAUUAAUGGUUACUACAUGUUUUUGUGAACAAACGCGAAGUAAACUCGAAGAAAACGAAAAAUACAACUAAAUCAAAUACCCGUUUUACGAGUUGUAUAUUGACUGUAUAAAUGAAUAAUUUACAACUCUUUAGACCUAUAUUUAUACAGCCUCAAAAACUCGAUAUUCUUUCUUUUAAAUGAAAACUUUCUUAUCUACUAAAUCAGUUUUCUUAAUCUUAAAAUAGAAACCGUACCGCAUGAGACCUUCAGCCCUUGCACCCCAAAUGUCAAUUUUGAAAAAGAGCUCAUCCGCCUAAAGAAUGUGUCAUUUUACGGGUAAACCUAGAUUUAAAUAAUUUCCAGAUCAACACGUGUGAUAAUUUAUUGUUUUACUUCAAACUGAAGGAAGUGUGGCACAUCAAGCAAAUAUACACUCUAGCUAUUUAGGCAGUGUGAAAGUCAUGUGUUAUAUGUAAGCUCAAGAACUUGGAGCUUGAUAGGUUGCUGCAGUGGUGGAGUUUUGGUUCGUGUACAUGUGUUACACAUGGAGAGUAAUGUGUGACACAUGUUUCGGAGAAUAAAAAAGAAACGUCAAGAUGCGAUGAUGUGUGAUAUUUCCAUAUGCUUGGUUGACGAAAUAGGCAUUAAAAGAAUGUUAUUAGAUCAAAAAUUGGAAGAUUUGGUGAUGCUAAAUAUAGGAAAUAUUAUAUUAGAUAAUAGAAAAAGAUUAAUUAAUAUAUAUUGUGGUUUUACCUAAGAUUAGGGUUAGAGCUUUUACGCUGUAAUUCUCAGAGUGAAACACAAAGGGUUUUGGGGUUUCAUAGCUGAGUGGAUUGGUAGACUUGAUCAACGGUGUUGAGUUAAGCAAGUUGGGAGUGUUAGAAAUCGAUCUGUGUCGAGUUGUGUAAUUCGGAUCAAACAAGUCUGUAAGAGAUUGUGUAAAUGAUUUAUAAUAAAAGAUAUACGAGUUCUUGGAAUUACUUUGUGUCUUGUGUUUUUGAUGUAUCUCGAUUUUAACAAUUGGUAUCAGAGUAGAACACCUAAACAAAGGAGGGUUCUUCGAAACAAGGUGAGAUCCUGAGAAGAGAAUAUGGCGACUUUGGCACACAAUAUUUUGCUGCUAAAUGAUAUGAAUUAUGGAUAUUGGAAAGUGAGAAUGAGAGCAAACUUACGUGGAGCUGAUGAAGAUAUAUGGACAGUUGUUCAAUCUGGAUGGGAAGAACCGUGGGUGAUGCAAGAAGAUGGCUUGAAGACACUUAAAUCGAAGACAAAGUGGACUGCAACAGAGAAAAAGCUUUCAAAGUUUAAUGAAAAAGCACUGGAUAUAAUUUUCAGUUUUGUAGACGGAAAGCAAUUUGAGCUUAGGAGGAUAAGAUUGGACUUACUUGCACCACAGUUUGAAGACAUAAGGAUGAGUGACGAUGAGAAGAUAGGAGAAUUUAGUGCAAAGCUUAGCUCCAUAGCCAAUGAAGCACAAGUUCUAGGUAAAAAAUACGGAGAUGCAAAAUUGGUGAAGAAACUUUUGCGAUGUUUACCUACUAAGUUUGCAGCACAUAAAGCGGCAAUAAACUUGACAAUGAACAGCGAUGAACUAAAGUUUGCUGAGAUAGUAGGGAUAUUAAAGGCUGAGGAGAUGGAAUUGGAAUCUAAUUUUUCAAAGCCUGCUCAAGACUCUAGAGUUACAGUUGAUGAAGACAUCCAAAGAGCUCAAAAACUUGAAUAAUCUAUUCACUUGAUGAUUCAGAAACUUGAAGAAACCAUGAAUCUCUUGUAUAAGAUGUCCAACGACAGACUGCCUAGAGAAGAAGAAAGACAUAAAAUGCAGGGAGGGGUGUGUUUUAAUUGUCAUGGUAUUGGACAUGUCAAAACAGAUUGUCCAUCAUUCAAGAGAAAAGAAAUCAAGUGUAAUGGAUGUAAUGGUUAUGGGCACAUAAAAUCAGAGUGUGUGAACACAAAGAAGAUGAAGAUGAAGAGAAGUUGCAGUGCUAAGAAGCCAGAGAGAAAAGAAGAUGCUCUCAAUUUUGUGGCUCUUCAUGGAGUUAUGGGGUCUGAAAAAGACAUCACUAAAGGUGAAUUUCGUGCGUCAUGUGUGUCAUACACCAAUUCUGAUGCGUCACACAGUGAUACAGAAAGUGAUCUACAUGCGGAUCUUGUAGCUGAGUACCAGGUUCUCUUUGGUAAGUUUGCAGAACUCAGUCACGGAAACUUGCAGCUCAUCAAGGAUAAAGCUAUGUUAAAAGCUUAAGUCAACAUCCUAGAGAUGGAACAAAUUGACACGAAGGGUGAAUCAAAGUGUAGGAUGACAGAGAAUGAUGAGGAAGAUGAGCUUCAAUCUCUUAAGAGAGUAAUCGCAGAGCAGAACCGAGUUCAACAAGAGUCUGAAAUAAAGUUUCAUCAGAUGAAACAGCUGCUGAAUCAAGAACUUGAGAAGAGUCAACUUCUGGAAAGACAACUUACUGAGAACUACAACACUACAGGAAAUGUGAGUAUUAAUAGCAUAAGAUUAUAGCGUUUAUAACAAUUCUGCUAUUGUAUAUCAAUACUUGAUUUUUUAAUAGCGUUUAUCAUUUUAAAACGCUAUAUUUGUUAUCGCGGGAAAAUAAAAAUAAAAUUAUCCGCGUUAAUUUGCCAAGUUUAUCAUUAAGUCACAAAGUACUUUUCCUCUCUACAUUUAUAAGAAGAAAAAAACAAAACUUUCUCUCACUGUCGGACUCUCCUAUCUUUCUCUCUCGACACCAACCAGUUUCCCCCGACUCUCCUUCGCGUUCUCUCCUCCGACCAGAAUCCUCAUGGCUUCCACCAGAUAACUCGCGAAUCUUCGUUCUCUCUUCUUCUUCUGAUAUUUAUUGUUCUGUAUUAGUCAUCGAGUAGGGUUUCAAUUGGUUUCAGUGUUAGUGUUUUGAAUUGGGGAUAAAUGAUUGUUCUGAUUAGUCCUCGAUUAAGAUUGUUCUUAUCUCUGGUUUGAUUUUUCCUGAGUCUUUCGAACUGUUUUUAUGUGUCUAGGGUUUCGAUUUAUGGUUCUCUCUGUGUUCUGGUUUUCUCUAUGCUACGGGUCAUAUUCUCUUUCUCUCUAUGUUGAAGAGCCGCUAUGAACAAAGUCUUUUUUCAUUGUCCGCACAUAAUCAAUGAGUAUAGUUCAGUAACUGUUGUGGCUUUUAACUUUGUGUUGUUCUUGAUUUUGGAGCUUGGUGUGUGUUCUUGUAUGUUUGAGCUCGUUCUGUAAUAUAUGGCUCGCUCAGAUGUAAUUAUAUGUGCUUUCUUCUGAUAAUCAAUAAUCCAUGUUUUUCUUCUUCAUUUAUGGAUUGAUUAUUUUGUAUCAUAGUUGUUCUGCAGGACGGGGCUUCGUUGGUUCAGCUCGUCGGAGAUGAAUAAAGGGGAAGUUCUUAGCCUCUCUUUGCCAUGAACCUCACCUGUCAAGCUGUCUCUCUCUCUCUCUCUCUCUCUCUCUCUCUCAUUUUGUUUUGUUUUUUUGGUACAUGAAGGGUUGUCGUGAGCAGACUUGGUAGUCGUGAGCUUGAACACAGAGGAGGCACGGCGUGGUGGUGGUGGUGCUAGCUGCCUCUGCUCACCGAAAAGUGAAGACAAUGCUUCAUGGUGGUGCGGCGGAUGAUGAUGACGAGCGUGGAACUUCCGGUCUGGUUGCGGCCGUUUGUUUGGGGGGUCACCGCCUCAUAGUCUUGAAGCAAGGCGAAUUCAAGAAAGCGUCGCUUCAUCACGCUUCACUGCUUAGGUCAACCCGUGACCUUCCCAUCGCCUCAAGGGUUGAAGAGCAAGGAAACGUUGUGUUAGGUUUUUGUCGUUUUUGUGUUAGAUUUUUUGUUGUUGUUGUGUUGCUCUAUUCUGGGUUCUUCGUUUAGCAAUUGGCUUAUGGUUAAGUAUUUUAUUUGGUUUAAAGCUCUUGAGAAGAAGGAAAUCUAAGAUUCAUGAAAUAGAUAUUGGUUGUAUAAUGUUGGAUCUGCUUCUUGCUGUUUAGUUCAGAAAACGUAAACUUCUUUGUUGAUUCAUCAAGUUAUUUAGUUUGGUGUUUAUGUGUUAAAAGACUGACAAAGCUAUUGAGAGAGGCAGAGAACUUCGUUAGACUUUAUGAUGAUAGCAAAGUAUUAAAUUUAAACUCCAAAACACUUACUUUAAUUUCUUAUGCCAUUAGUCAAAUAAAAUGCAGAAAUACCAUAACUUUUAUGAAAAUAACUAUUUUAUCUACUUUUUUUAGAAUUACAAAAAAUGGUUUUAAAGAUUAAAUUUAGGGUUUAGGGUUAGGGUUAGGGUUAGGGUUUAUGUUGAGGGUUUAGGUCAGAUUAAUAUUUUAAAACUUAAAACACUAAAUCCUAAAUAUAAAGUAUAAUCUAAAUUUUUCAAAUUUUAUUUUAAAUCUUACUUUUAGUCCAUAUUCCAAACUUCAAGCUUUACAACCAAAUAUAUUUUUAAUACUUAAAUUCUAAACUUCACCCUAAAUCUUAUACGAUAGCCCCUAAGCUUAAACCCUACAUACAAAGUCAUAAAUCUUAUCUUUUCAAACUUAUAACAUAAAUCUAAUUAAUCUUUCAAUUCUAGUUUUAAAAUUUUAAUGUCAAACCCUUAACCCUAAUCACAUAUCAUUUCAUUUUUCUUGAUAUUCAUUUUACAAAGGUGUGGAUCACCUUUCAUUUUAAUGUUAAAGUAUAUACAUUUUUAAUCCUAAAAUUUAAAUUAUAGAUUAUUUUGUUUUUUUCAUAUUAUAGCUUCCAAACAUUUAAACUAAACCAUUAAAAAAAAAAAAGUACAAAAACAAAAGAAAAAAACUCACUGGUUAAUAAAUAAAUAUUUGGAUUGCAAAUAUGAGCCAAUUAGAGACAAGUGUGUGGAUCACAAUCUUGGUCAUUCAUUAAACUGAAUCUAAAGGUCCACAAUCGUUCUCUUCUGAGUGGUUCAUUUAGAAAAAGGGGAUCACCCAUAUUUAAUCAUGGCCGUUGAUGAGUAUCGAUCUAAAGGCUGAAAUUAACCUACUUUAAUUAAUUAUUUUUAAUUUUUUUCUUCUUUCUCUCCUCGAGACUUGAUCUUUUCUCUUCUCUCUUUCUCUCGUUCGCCCUAAUUCGUCUUUCUAUUGUUAGUUCAUCUCUGUUAGGCUCUUUUCUGUACUCUAGAUUCCUUUUCUCUGGAGGGUUUAGAUCUUUGGGUUGGAAGCGAGUGGAGACGCGUGGAGAGGAACUCCUUCUCCUGGGGGUUUGAUUCGUCGUAUCCCACUGGCUCAGAUGUGCCUUUGUAUGUAUUAGGUCGCCUUUGACCGGAUUUCUUUGAUGAACUGGAGAUCUGAUUUUCUCUCCAUCUCUCUCGACGGUUGGAUGCUGUUACUCUCAUCAAAGGAGGAAUCCUAUAAGAUUCUGCCUUUAUACAGAUCUUAUCCAAGCACAAGCUUGUUCAUGAGGUGCUUUUUGGUCUUCUAUUAACAACGACAAGUACUUGUGGUCGUGGUCUCGGCGUCAACAAUGGUGGUCUCGGCGUCAGCAGUGGUGAUCUCGACUUCGUCAGUGGUGGUCUCGACUUCGUCAAUGGUAGCUUAGCGCGGUGGAGGAGGCUGAAUAAGCUUUACUGUGUGGUGUUCUUGGCUGGUGGAGUUGGCCUAAAAGAUGAAGAAACCGAAGGAGCUGAAGUUGACGGCGAAGGAGAUGAAGUUGACGGCAAAAAUUUUAGAUUUAGGGUUAAUUUAUUUAAUUAGGUUAAUCUUUUUAGGUUUACAUUUGCAAACCGGGUUUUGUAAACCUGAAUUUAUUUGUAAACCAUAAUUAAUUAUAUUUGGUGGUUUUAAUUUUUAAUAAA